rnacentral:rRNA from 1 species
CACCGGCGGCUCGAGUGGUAACCGUUAUUAUUGGGUCUAAAGGGUCUGUAGCCGGCCGGAUAAGUCUCUUGAGAAAUCUGGCAGCUUAACUGUCAGGCUUUCAGGAGAUACUGUCUGGCUCGAGGCCGGGAGAGGUGAGAGGUACUUCAGGGGUAGGGGUGAAAUCUUGUAAUCCUUGAAGGACCACCAGUGGCGAAGGCGUCUCACCAGAACGGACCUGACGGCAAGGGACGAAAGCUAGGGGCACGAACCGGAUUAGAUACCCCGGUAGUCCCUGAGCGGGCUGG